rnacentral:rRNA from 1 species
AUUGAACGCUGGCGGCAUGCCUUACACAUGCAAGUCGAACGGCAGCACGGGAGCAAUCCUGGUGGCGAGUGGCGAACGGGUGAGUAAAGUAUCGGAACGUGCCCAGUCGUGGGGGAUAACGUAGCGAAAGUUACGCUAAUACCGCAUACGAUCUAUGGAUGAAAGCGGGGGAUCGCAAGACCUCGCGCGAUUGGAGCGGCCGAUAUCAGAUUAGGUAGUUGGUGGGGUAAAGGCUCACCAAGCCGACGAUCUGUAGCUGGUCUGAGAGGACGACCAGCCACACUGGGACUGGGACACGGCCCAGACUCCUCCGGGAGGCAGAAGUGGGGAAUUUUGGACAAUGGGCGAAAGCCUGAUCCAGCCAUGCCGCGUGCAGGAUGAAGGCCUUCGGGUUGUAAACUGCUUUUGUACGGAACGAAAAGGUUUGGCCUAAUAAGCUGAGCUCAUGACGGUACCGUAAGAAUAAGCACCGGCUAACUACGUGCCAGCCGCCGCGGUAA